rnacentral:rRNA from 1 species
UGCGCAGGCGGUUUGAUAAGCCAGAUGUGAAAUCCCCGAGCUCAACUUGGGAACUGCGUUUGGAACUGUCAGACUAGAGUGCGUCAGAGGGGGGUGGAAUUCCGCGUGUAGCAGUGAAAUGCGUAGAUAUGCGGAGGAACACCGAUGGCGAAGGCAAUCCCCUGGGCCUGCACUGACGCUCAUGCACGAAAGCGUGGGGAGCAAACAGGAUUAGAUACCCCCGUA